ACCCAAUAGAUACCCCGGUAGUCCUGGCCCUAAACGAUGAGUGCUUGGUGUGGCGGGUAUCGAUCCCUGCCGUGCCGAAAGCUAAACGCAUUAAGCACUCCGCCUGGGGAGUACGGUCGCAAGGCUGAGACUCAAAGGAAUUGACGGGGGCCCGCACAAGCGGUGGAGCAUGUGGUUCAAUUCGACGCAACGCGAAGAACCUUACCUGGGCUCGAAAUGCAGACGACAUCCGGCGAAAGUCGGCUCCCGCAAGGGCGUCUGUAUAGGUGCUGCAUGGCUGUCGUCAGCUCGUGUCGUGAGAUGUUGGGUUAAGUCCCGCAACGAGCGCAACCCUCGUCCUCUGUUGCCAUCAGGUUAAGCUGGGCACUCUGAGGAGACUGCCGGUGAUAAACCGGAGGAAGGUGGGGAUGACGUCAAGUCAGCAUGGCCUUUAUGUCCAGGGCCACACACGUGCUACAAUGACAGAUACAAAGCGUCGCAAUCUCGCAAGAGUGAGCUAAUCGCAUAAA
rnacentral:rRNA from 1 species